AGAGUUUGAUCCUGGCUCAGGACGAACGCUGGCGGCGCGCCUAACACAUGCAAGUCGAACGAGCGAGAGAGAGCUUGCUUUCUCAAGCGAGUGGCGAACGGGUGAGUAACGCGCGAGGAACCUGCCUCAAAGAGGGGGACAACAGUUGGAAACGACUGCUAAUACCGCAUAAGCCCACGGUGCCGCAUGGCACAGGGGGAAAAGGAGCAAUCCGCUUUGAGAUGGCCUCGCGUCCGAUUAGCUAGUUGGUGAGGUAAUGGCCCACCAAGGCGACGAUCGGUAGCCGGACUGAGAGGUUGAACGGCCACAUUGGGACUGAGACACGGCCCAGACUCCUACGGGAGGCAGCAGUGGGGAAUAUUGCACAAUGGGGGAAACCCUGAUGCAGCGACGCCGCGUGGAGGAAGAAGGUCUUCGGAUUGUAAACUCCUGUUGUCGAGGAAGAUAAUGACGGUACUCAACAAGGAAGUGACGGCUAACUACGUGCCAGCAGCCGCGGUAAAACGUAGGUCACAAGCGUUGUCCGGAAUUACUGGGUGUAAAGGGAGCGCAGGCGGGAAGACAAGUUGGAAGUGAAAUCUAUGGGCUCAACCCAUAAACUGCUUUCAAAACUGUUUUUCUUGAGUAGUGCAGAGGUAGGCGGAAUUCCCGGUGUAGCGGUGGAAUGCGUAGAUAUCGGGAGGAACACCAGUGGCGAAGGCGGCCUACUGGGCACCAACUGACGCUGAGGCUCGAAAGUGUGGGUAGCAAACAGGAUUAGAUACCCUGGUAGUCCACACCGUAAACGAUGAUUACUAGGUGUUGGAGGAUUGACCCCUUCAGUGCCGCAGUUAACACAAUAAGUAAUCCACCUGGGGAGUACGACCGCAAGGUUGAAACUCAAAGGAAUUGACGGGGGCCCGCACAAGCAGUGGAGUAUGUGGUUUAAUUCGACGCAACGCGAAGAACCUUACCAAGUCUUGACAUCCUCUGACGAACGUAGAAAUACGUUUUCUCUUCGGAGCAGAGAGACAGGUGGUGCAUGGUUGUCGUCAGCUCGUGUCGUGAGAUGUUGGGUUAAGUCCCGCAACGAGCGCAACCCUUAUGGUCAGUUACUACGCAAGAGGACUCUGGCCAGACUGCCGUUGACAAAACGGAGGAAGGUGGGGAUGACGUCAAAUCAUCAUGCCCUUUAUGACUUGGGCUACACACGUACUACAAUGGCGUUAAACAAAGAGAAGCAAGACCGCGAGGUGGAGCAAAACUCAGAAACAACGUCCCAGUUCGGACUGCAGGCUGCAACUCGCCUGCACGAAGUCGGAAUUGCUAGUAAUCGCAGAUCAGCAUGCUGCGGUGAAUACGUUCNCCGGGCCUUGUACACACCGCCCGUC
rnacentral:rRNA from 1 species